rnacentral:rRNA from 1 species
UACAGAGGGGGCAAGCGUUGUUCGGAAUUACUGGGCGUAAAGGGCGCGUAGGCGGCCUGUUAAGUCGGACGUGAAAUCCCUCGGCUCAACCGGGGAACUGCGUCCGAUACUGGCGGGCUUGAAUUCGGGAGAGGGAUGUGGAAUUCCCGGUGUAGCGGUGAAAUGCGCAGAUAUCGGGAAGAACACCCGUGGCGAAGGCGGCUCUCUGGGACGGUACUGACGCUGAGACGCGAAAGCGUGGGGAGCGAAACAGG